rnacentral:misc_RNA from 1 species
UUACUCACUUACUCCUUGCGAGUUUUCUUUAAGUUGCAAAGCGAAUUCUAGAUCUAUUAAACCAAAAUUUAAAUGGCAUUUAAAUAUAUAUAAACAUAAUGUUUGAUAGCAGUAAUUUUUUUCAUUUUUCUUGUUAUCUUUAAUGCAUUAUGUGUAUAUAUUUUCUGUUUUCUUUUUUGUAUUUCCCUAUUUAUUUUUUCCACAGAUUUUGAGUGUUAUUUGCUUUACUAAUAUCUAAUGUAAAUUUGUUGUCUGUUAAGUUUGAGGUUUUAAAUAAAUCACUUUGAUAAAUAGU